rnacentral:rRNA from 1 species
GGUUCAUUCAAAUUUCUGCCCUAUCAACUUUCGAUGGUAGGAUAGUGGCCUACCAUGGUUUCAACGGGUAACGGGGAAUUAGGGUUCUAUUCCGGAGAGGGAGCCUGAGAAACGGCUACCACAUCCAAGGAAGGCAGCAGGCGCGCAAAUUACCCAAUCCCGACCGGGGAGGUAGUGACAAUAAAUACUGAUACAGGGCUCUUUAGGGUCUUGUAAUUGGAAUGAGUACAAUUUAAAUCCCUUAACGAGGAACAAUUGGAGGGCAAGUCUGGUGCCAGCAGCCGCGGUAAUUCCAGCUCCAAUAGCGUAUAUUAAAGUUGUUGCAGUUAAAAAGCUCGUAGUUG